UACGGAGGGUGCGAGCGUUGUCCGGAAUCACUGGGCGUAAAGGGCGCGUAGGUGGCCUGUGGAAGUCUGCGGUGAAAGCCCGGCGCUCAACGCCGGGUCGGCCGUGGAUACUCUCGGGCUUGAGCUUACUAGAGGCAGAUGGAAUUCCGGGUGUAGCGGUGGAAUGCGUAGAGAUCCGGAAGAACACCGGUGGCGAAGGCGGGUCUCUGGACAGUUCCUGACGCUGAGGCACGAAGGCCAGGGGAGCAAACGGG
rnacentral:rRNA from 1 species